UGGCGCGAUUGGAUGAGCCACGUCGGAUUAGCUAGUUGGCGGGUAAAGGCCCACCAAGGCGACGAUCCGUAGCUGGUCUGAGAGGAUGAUCAGCCACACUGGAACUGAGACACGGUCCAGACUCCUACGGGAGGCAGCAGUAGGGAAUAUUGGACAAUGGGCGCAAGCCUGAUCCAGCCAUGCCGCGUGAGUGAAGAAGGCCCUCGGGUUGUAAAGCUCUUUGUCCGGAAAGAAAAGCGCCGGGUUAAUACCCUGGUGUCCUGACGGUACCGGAAGAAUAAGCACCGGCUAACUUCGUG
rnacentral:rRNA from 1 species